UACACUCACACAACAUGUGCAUGUACUGUAUGUAAUGCUCAAGCAUGUCUUGCACAAACCUGGUGUACAAGACCUUUUCCACAGCAGUCAUUUUGGCAUGAAAUAGUAGGACAUAUACAGGUGCCUGCUGUUGGUCUAGUGUAAGGGGAGGUCACACUAAAUACUUACCACUUUAGCCUAUGGAAGCUGUUUUUUCUGAUUUUUUUCUGUUUUUGAAUACUGCAUACAAUUUCCUGUAUUUUCUGGUUGUAUUCUAAUAAAGAGACUGAGAAAUAA